rnacentral:rRNA from 1 species
GGGUACUGCAGGAGAAGCGCCGGCUAACUACGUGCCAGCAGCCGCGGUAAUACGUAGGGCGCAAGCGUGUCCGGAAUUAUUGGGCGUAAAGAGCUCGUAGGCGGUUUGUCGCGUCUGCCGUGAAAUCCCGAUGCUUAACGUCGGGCUUGCGGUGGGUACGGGCAGGCUAGAGUGCGGUAGGGGUGACUGGAAUUCCUGGUGUAGCGGUGGAAUGCGCAGAUAUCAGGAGGAACACCGAUGGCGAAGGCAGGUCACUGGGCCGUUACUGACGCUGAGGAGCGAAAGCAUGGGGAGCGAACAGGAUUAGAUACCCUGGUAGUCCAUGCCGUAAACGUUGGGCACUAGGUGUGGGGAUUGUUCCACGAUUCCUGUACCGUAGCUAACGCAUUAAGUGCCCCGCCUGGGGAGUACGGCCGCAAGGCUAAAACUCAAAGGAAUUGACGGGGGCCCGCACAAGCGGCGGAGCAUGCGGAUUAAUUCGAUGCAACGCGAAGAACCUUACCAAGGCUUGACAUACACCGGAACUGCUCAGAGAUGGGUGGGUCUUCGGACUGGUGUACAGGUGGUGCAUGGUUGUCGUCAGCUCGUGUCGUGAGAUGUUGGGUUAAGUCCCGCAACGAGCGCAACCCUUAUUCCAUGUUGCCAGCACGUGAUGGUGGGGACUCAUGGGAGACUGCCGGGGUCAACUCGGAGGAAGGUGGGGACGACGUCAAAUCAUCAUGCCCCUUAUGUCUUGGGCUUCACGCAUGCUACAAUGGCCGGUACAAAGGGUUGCGAUACCGUGAGGUGGAGCGAAUCCCAAAAAGCCGGUCUCAGUUCGGAUUGGGGUCUGCAACUCGACCCCAUGAAGUCGGAGUCGCUAGUAAUCGCAGAUCAGCAACGCUGCGGUGAAUACGUUCCCGGGCCUUGUACACACCGCCCGUCAAGUCACGAAAGUUGGUAACACCCGAAGCCGAUGGCCUAACCACUUGUGGGGGGAGUCGUCGAAGGUGGGACUGGCG